rnacentral:rRNA from 1 species
UGAGGAAUAUUGGACAAUGGGCGCAAGCCUGAUCCAGCCAUGCCGCGUGCAGGAAGAAGGCAUUCGGGUUGUAAACUGCUUUUUGUACGGAACGAAAAGGCUCUUUCUAAUAAAGAGGGCCCAUGACGGUACCGUAAGAAUAAGCACCGGCUAACUACGUGCCAGCAGCCGCGGUAAUACGUAGGGUGCGAGCGUUAAUCGGAAUUACUGGGCGUAAAGCGUGCGCAGGCGGUUCUAUAAGACAGAUGUGAAAUCCCCGGGCUCAACCUGGGAAUGGCAUUUGUGACUGUAGAGCUAGAGUACGGUAGAGGGGGAUGGAAUUCCGCGUGUAGCAGUGAAAUGCGUAGAUAUGCGGAGGAACACCGAUGGCGAAGGCAAUCCCCUGGACCUGUACUGACGCUCAUGCACGAAAGCGUGGGGAGCAAACAGGAUUAGAUACCCCAGUAGUCCCUGAGCGGGCUGGCAAGGCGCAU